rnacentral:rRNA from 1 species
CCUACGGGUGGCAGCAGUGAGGAAUAUUGGUCAAUGGCCGGGAGGCUGAACCAGCCAAGUCGCGUGAGGGAAGACGGCCCUACGGGUUGUAAACCUCUUUUGUCAGGGAGCAAGGUGCAGGUCGGGACCUGCUGUGAGAUUACCUGAAGAGAAAGCAUCGGCUAACUCCGUGCCAGCAGCCGCGGUAAUACGGGGGAUGCGGGCGUUAUCCGGAUUGGUUGGGUUAAAGGGGUGCGCAGGCGGAGGCGCAAGUCAGCGGUAAAAUCGCGGGGCUCAACCCCGCUCCGCCGUUGAAACUGUGUCCCUUGAGUGCGCGAAGGGUAGGCGGAAUGCGUGGUGUAGCGGUGAAAUGCAUAGAUAUCACGAAGAACUCCGAUCGCGAAGGCAGCCUACCGGCGCGUAACUGACGCUCAUGAACGAAAGCGUGGGUAUCGAACAGGAUUAGAUACCCUAGUAGUC